GUCAGUUUGCAACACGUGGGUUCGUCAGUUUACCUGUUGUUUUUUGUCACCAUCUUAUCAUCAAUAAAUGCUUUUGACAUCCAUCAUCUAUCUUCUCUUACAUUUAUGUCUCCAUCGUCCUUUUGUUGAUGUUUCUUCUAACGAUGUUUAUACCGUAGUCAUGUAAUGCUUCCUUUAUUACUGUUAAUGCUAAGAUUUCAAAAAUAUGUCAAAUCGUGUAAGAGUUUUAUCUUCUUAUCUUACGUCUUCUUUCAUUUCAUUCUUUACUCAUCUUUCACCUCCUUCCCAUCUUAAGUUCUUCACAGAGCACUUUAUCUUCAUCUCAUUUUUCUCCCCUCAAUCUAGGCUACGUUUUUGGGUUUUCUUCUUCUUUGGUACUAUGUCAUCCUCAUCUUCGUCAUCCAUUUCCUUUUUCUUCUCCAAAAUUGAACAGAUCGUACUACUAAUCACAUCUCUCUUCAGAUCGAUCAAGAUCUAGAGAUGAAUACCUAUUGGCUCAUUCGCUAGUUGGUUUGACCUUAGGCUUCAUGUUAAUCGGCAGUCCUGCACAUAGAAUCCCCAGAAUUUCCCCAAUUUCUUUGACAGAAACCUCCGUUUUCAUGCCUUUUAUUUCAAAAGGGCAAUUUCCAACAUAAGCUCCAACCAAGUCAUCUAACAAUCUGGAUUUGAUGGGGAAAUCAACCAUCCCAACAAAUGCUCCAAAACAAGUGUCCUUCAUUGAUCUUGGGAAUUUUAUUUUGCCCUUCCGGACAACAUCAACAUAGGUUGGAAUACCAGAACAAUGUCUGAUCAAAUCAUUGACGGAAGGAAAAAAACAUAUAUUUCAAACGAAAAAAACGACCAGAUAAAUAAAUCAAUAAAAAUACUCACUAAUGUGGAGAUUAUCUUCAGUCCUCUCCCUCUUAACCUUCACCACUAUUCUUUCAGCAUUACUGGUUUCACACUUAUCCUUGGCCAUGUUCGAACCAACACUAGUGUUAUCAAAAGAUAUAGUGUCCCUAUUUUUCUUCUUCUUCCCCUCAGAUUCAGUCACGCUUGCUGUUUUCAUUUAAAAUCAUAAAAACCUCAUUUUUAGUUGCCUCAAAAUACAAUGUUUCUUAAGUUCAGUGAGAAUACAAAAAUUACUUACAAAUUCGCUUCCUCUUCUCCACAGGUAUUGUCAGAAAAUCUGAAUUUAUAUCCGACAGUAGACUGGAAACAACUCUAUCGACCUCGGCAAGUGAAAAUUCAAUGUCGAUGUCGCCUACAAACAUAAUCAAUUAGUCUUAUUUUUAUUCAUAGUCAAAGCAUGUCGUGACAGCAUUUGACAAAUGUCUUCCUCCCACAAAAUAAUAAAAAAAAGAAAGAGUAUUAAACCGUCGGCAUCCCCCAUUUCAUCUCUUCUUGGUUGGGU
rnacentral:lncRNA from 1 species